rnacentral:rRNA from 1 species
UACAGAGGUCCCAAGCGUUGUUCGGAUUCACUGGGCGUAAAGGGUGCGCAGGUGGUCGGGUAAGUCUGACGUGAAAUCCCGCAGCUUAACUGCGGAAUGGCAUUGGAUACUAUUCGGCUAGAGGGUUGGAGGGGGGACUGGAAUUCUCGGUGUAGCAGUGAAAUGCGUAGAUAUCGAGAGGAACACCAGUGGCGAAGGCGACACCCUGGACCAGCACUGACACUGAGGCACGAAAGCGUGGGGAGC